UACGGAGGGUGCAAGCGUUAUCCGGAUUCACUGGGUUUAAAGGGUGCGUAGGCGGGCAGGUAAGUCAGUGGUGAAAUCCCCGAGCUUAACUCGGGAACUGCCAUUGAUACUAUCUGUCUUGAAUAUUGUGGAGGUAAGCGGAAUAUGUCAUGUAGCGUGAAUGCUAGAUAUGACAUAGAACACCUAUGCGAAGCAGCUACUACGCAUAUAUGACGCUGAGGCACGAAGCGUGGGACCAAACAG
rnacentral:rRNA from 1 species